AUUGAACGCUGGCGGCAGGCCUAACACAUGCAAGUCGAACGAGUGGCGGACGGGUGAGUAAUGUCUGGGAAACUGCCUGAUGGAGGGGGAUAACUACUGGAAACGGUAGCUAAUACCGCAUACCAUCGGAUGUGCCCAGUUGGGCUAAGCUAGUAGGGGGGGUAACGGCGCACCUAGGCGACGAUCCCUAGCUGGUCUGCGAGGAUGACCAGCCAAACUGGAACUGAGACACGGUCCAGACUCCUACGGGAGGCAGCAGUGGGGAAUAUUGCACAAUGGGCGCAAGCCUGAUGCAGCCAUGCCGCGUGUAUGAAGAAGGAAUUCGGGUUGUAAAGUACUUUCAGCGGGGAGGCGUUACCCGCAGAAGAAGCACCGGCUAACUCCGUGCCAGCAGCCGCGGUAAUUC
rnacentral:rRNA from 1 species